GAUGAACGCUGGCGGCGUGCCUAAUACAUGCAAGUCGAGCGAACGGACGAGAAGCUUGCUUCUCUGAUGUUAGCGGCGGACGGGUGAGUAACACGUGGAUAACCUACCUAUAAGACUGGGAUAACUUCGGGAAACCGGAGCUAAUACCGGAUAAUAUUUUGAACCGCAUGGUUCAAAAGUGAAAGACGGUCUUGCUGUCACUUAUAGAUGGAUCCGCGCUGCAUUAGCUAGUUGGUAAGGUAACGGCUUACCAAGGCAACGAUGCAUAGCCGACCUGAGAGCGUGAUUGGCCACACUGGAAGUGAGACACGGUCCACACUCCUACAGGGAGCAGCAGUAGGGAAUCUUACGCGAUGGACGAGAGCCGAAUGGAGCAACGCCGCGUGAGGGAUGAUGGUCUACGGAUGGUAAAACUCUGUUGUUAGGGAGGAACAAAUGUGUAAGUAACUGUGCACAUCUUGACGGUACCUAAUGAGAAAGCCACGGCUAACUACGUG
rnacentral:rRNA from 1 species